rnacentral:rRNA from 1 species
AUUGAACGCUGGCGGCAGGCUUAACACAUGCAAGUCGAGCGGAGAUGAGGUGCUUGCACCUUAUCUUAGCGGCGGACGGGUGAGUAAUGCUUAGGAAUCUGCCUAUUAGUGGGGGACAACAUUCCGAAAGGAAUGCUAAUACCGCAUACGUCCUACGGGAGAAAGCAGGGGAUCUUCGGACCUUGCGCUAAUAGAUGAGCCUAAGUCGGAUUAGCUAGUUGGUGGGGUAAAGGCCUACCAAGGCGACGAUCUGUAGCGGGUCUGAGAGGAUGAUCCGCCACACUGGGACUGAGACACGUCCCAGACUCCUACGGGAGGCAGCAGUGGGGAAGAUUGGACAAUGGGGGGAACCCUGGUCCAGCCAUGCCGCCUGUGUGAAGAAGGCCUUAUGGUUGUAAAGCACUUUAAGCGAGGAGGAGGCUACUGAGACUAAUACUCUUGGAUAGUGGACGUUACUCGCAGAAUAAGCACCGGCUAACUCUGUGCCAGCCGCCGCCGUAA